rnacentral:misc_RNA from 1 species
CGAGAAGAAAGAGAAGGGGAGUGUAGCGUGACGAUAUGUGGGAUAUAACAGCUACCGUGGAUCGCGCGUAGUCAGCGAUUGUGAUUCAAGGGAGGAGACGCCGUACGAGAGAAAAAGACAGGCUUAUGUAUUUCGAUCUCCUUUCUUCGUGCCCAAAAUUGCGUCAAAAUACAAACACCUAAUUAUACAUUGCGAACGAAGUGCGACGGCAGUACAACAUGGCGCCCGGAACGAGGAAGUCGGGGCCGUACGCACGAGGGGCUCGACGUCCCGGUCGCCGAACGGGGAUCCCCUAGGAUCGGGUAUACGUAACCGUGAACGUACCCCGAGUGGCGUCAGGUGGAUUUUCAGGUGGAUUUUCAGGUGCUCACCCUGCACAUCAAUAGCUGAAAGAAUCCUACAAACG